rnacentral:rRNA from 1 species
GGUGAACGCUGGCGGCGUGCCUAAUACAUGCAAGUCGAGCGAACAGACGAGGAGCUUGCUCCUCUGACGUUAGCGGCGGACGGGUGAGUAACACGUGGAUAACCUACCUAUAAGACUGGGAUAACUUCGGGAAACCGGAGCUAAUACCGGAUAAUAUAUUGAACCGCAUGGUUCAAUAGUGAAAGACGGUUUUGCUGUCACUUAUAGAUGGAUCCGCGCCGCAUUAGCUAGUUGGUAAGGUAACGGCUUACCAAGGCAACGAUGCGUAGCCGACCUGAGAGGGUGAUCGGCCACACUGGAACUGAGACACGGUCCAGACUCCUACGGGAGGCAGCAGUAGGGAAUCUUCUGCAAUGGGCGAAAGCCUGACGGAGCAACGCCGCGUGAGUGAUGAAGGUCUUCGGAUCGUAAAACUCUGUUAUUAGGGAAGAACAAAUGUGUAAGUAACUAUGCACGUCUUGACGGUACCUAAUCAGAAAGCCACGGCUAACUACGUG